rnacentral:rRNA from 1 species
UACGGGGGGGGGCAAGCGUUGUUCGGAAUUACUGGGCGUAAAGGGCUCGUAGGCGGCCAACUAAGUCAGACGUGAAAUCCCCCGGCUUAACCUGGGAACUGCGUCUGAUACUGGACGGCUUGAGUAUGGGAGAGGAACGUAGAAUUCCAGGUGUAGCGGUGAAAUGCGCAGAUAUCGUAAGGAAGACCAGUGGCGAAGGCGGGUCUCUGGACAGUUCCUGACACUGAGACACGAAGGCCAGGGGAGCAAACGGG